CAAGCGUUGUUCGGAAUUACUGGGCGUAAAGGGCUCGUAGGCGGCCAACUAAGUCAGACGUGAAAUCCCUCGGCUUAACCGGGGAACUGCGUCUGAUACUGGAUGGCUUGAGUUCGGGAGAGGGAUGUGGAAUUCCAGGUGUAGCGGUGAAAUGCGUAGAUAUCUGGAGGAACACCGGUGGCGAAGGCGGCAUCCUGGACCGACACUGACGCUGAUGAGCGAAAGCCAGAGGAGCAAACGGG
rnacentral:rRNA from 1 species